rnacentral:rRNA from 1 species
UACGGAGGGUGCGAGCGUUGUCCGGAAUCAUUGGGCGUAAAGGGCGCGUAGGUGGCCCGGUCAGUCUUUGGUGAAAGCGCGGGGCUCAACCCUGCGUCGGUCAGGGAUACUGCCGCGGCUGGAGCACUGUAGAGGCAGGCGGAAUUCCGGGUGUAGCGGUGGAAUGCGUAGAGAUCCGGAAGAACACCGGUGGCGAAGGCGGCCUGCUGGGCAGUUGCUGACACUGAGGCGCGACAGCGUGGGGAGCAAACAGG